ACGUCGGGCAUUGCGUUAGCUCACGGCGAGUGAAGCGGCAAAAGCUCAAAUUUGAAAUCUGGUACCUUCGGUGCCCGAGUUGUAAUUUGGAGAGGGCAACUUUGGGGCCGUUCCUUGUCUAUGUUCCUUGGAACAGGACGUCAUAGAGGGUGAGAAUCCCGUGUGGCGAGGAGUGCGGUUCUUUGUAAAGUGCCUUCGAAGAGUCGAGUUGUUUGGGAAUGCAGCUCUAAGUGGGUGGUAAAUUCCAUCUAAAGCUAAAUAUUGGCGAGAGACCGAUAGCGAACAAGUACAGUGAUGGAAAGAUGAAAAGAACUUUGAAAAGAGAGUGAAAAAGUACGUGAAAUUGUUGAAAGGGAAGGGCAUUUGAUCAGACAUGGUGUUUUGUGCCCUCUGCUCCUUGUGGGUAGGGGAAUCUCGCAUUUCACUGGGCCAGCAUCAGUUUUGGUGGCAGGAUAAAUCCAUAGGAAUGUAGCUUGCCUCGGUAAGUAUUAUAGCCUGUGGGAAUACUGCCAGCUGGGACUGAGGACUGCGACGUAAGUCAAGGAUGCUGGCAUAAUGGUUAUAUGCCGCCCGUCUGAAAAAAAGGAACAAAUAUUUUUUUUUUUUCUCUAGG
rnacentral:rRNA from 1 species